rnacentral:rRNA from 1 species
GCAAGUCGAGCGCUUCACUUCGGUGAAGAGCGGCGAACGGGUGAGUAACACGUAGGUUACCUGCCCUCUGGUGGGGAAUAACCCAGGGAAACUUGGACUAAUACCGCAUAUGGUCUACGGAUCAAAGCCUUCGGGCGCCAGGGGAUGGGCCUGCGGCCCAUUAUUUAAUCCUUGUUGGUGGGGUAAUGGCCUACCAAGGGUACGAUGGGUAGCUGGUCUGAGAGGAUGAUC